CAGAAGUUCCUGUUACACCGGUUGAUGGUCGUUGCCAGCCUCCCCCAGCAACUCAAUGACAGGAGAGACCUGGGAGUAGACUACAAGGAGCUGAACCAGUGCUUGCAGAGGUAUUACCAAGGUGACACUAUCACAAGCCUGCUUUUGCUGUACCCAACAUGCUUCAUAUCAUUGAGGUAGCCAAGAUUAGCCAGUAACACCUUUUAAUGAAACCCAUAGCAAUAAUUAUAUGCAAAUCUGUCAAUUACUUGAAUACAAGUAAAACCUCUAUGGCCCAUCUUGCCAUUGAUUAGGAUAAUGAUAUGGGAUUUUCAAUCAUUACCAUUCUUUUUGUUUCUCUUCUAGUCUUCCAGCGAGAUUCGUGUGUCUCUGCUGCAGGAUCUGAGAAACAUGCAGGAACGGCCACACUGGCAUAGUAUCUUACUUCAUGCAAAUUUGAAUCAAUAUAUAAUAGUUAUAUCUGUUCUGGCACUAAAUUCAGAGGGUCAAGCAUGUGCGUUCUGUUGACAGACCAACCAAAGUCAUUAUAGCUUGACUAAAACUUGGCCAUAAACAUUGUUUGACAUGCUGUCUUGAUGUUGUCAUGGUCCCUGUCAUCGUCAUGCAGCGUCCUGAUCGAGGCGCCCAGGGUCCUGGUGAUGUGACAUUACAUUCCCAACAGGAUGUUUCAGCAGUAGAGCUGCAAGGUGCUGAACGUGCAGCCCAGGGUGGGAGGGGCUCUGAGUAGGGACAGGCUGAUGACGAGGAGGAGGACACAGAAACACUGGUCAGCACUGGGAAACCACCUCCUCAAAGCAACCAAUGGUUUAAAGAUGCCCCCGGGCUUUUCGUUGGAUGAGAUACCAGAGAUGAUAGUUCCUCCGGACGUCUUGGUCCAGCACCUGUCCAGUGGAGAACUUCUAAGCCCCAAGCUCUUAGAAAAAAGGGUUCCAAAAGGGUUCACUGGCUGU